rnacentral:rRNA from 1 species
ACUCAAAGGAAUUGACGGGGGCCCGCACAAGCAGCGGAGCGUGUGGUUUAAUUCGAUGAUACGCGAAGAACCUCACCCAGGUUUGACAUGCAUGUGGUACCAAUGUGAAAGCUGAGGGACCCUUCGGGGAGCAUGCACAGGUGUUGCACGGCCGUCGUCAGCUCGUGCCGUGAGGUGUUGGGUUAAGUCCCGCAACGAGCGCAACCCCUGUCGCCAGUUGUACUUUUCUGGCGAGACUGCCGAGAAAACCUCGGAGGAAGGAGGGGACGAUGUCAGGUCAGCGUGGCCCUUACGCCUGGGGCUACACACACGCUACAAUGGGCAGUACAACGGGUCGCGAAGCCGCGAGGCGAAGCUAAUCCCAUCAAAGCUGUCCUCAGUUCGGAUUGCAGGCUGAAACCCGCCUGCAUGAAGCCGGAGUUGCUAGUAACCGCAGGUCAGCAUUACUGCGGUGAAUACGUUCCCGGGCCUUGUACACACCGCCCGU